CUGCAGCUCAAGUGGUGAUCGUUAUUAUUGGGCCUAAAACGUCCGUAGCCGGUUUAGUAAAUGCCUGGGUAAAUCGUGCCGCUCAACGGUACGACUUCCGAGUAGACUGCUGAACUUGGGACCGGGAGAGGCUAGAGGUACUCCUGGGGUAGAGGUGAAAUUCUGUAAUCCUAGGGGGACCACCAGUGGCGAAGGCGUCUAGCUAGAACGGGUCUGACGGUGAGGGACGAAGCCCUGGGGCGCAAACCGGAUUAGAUACCCGCGUAGUCC
rnacentral:rRNA from 1 species